GCAAACUUGGUCAUUUAGAGGAAGUAAAAGUCGUAACAAGGUCUCCGUUGGUGAACCAGCGGAGGGAUCAUUACCGGGAAUUCGUCGAAAGACGUAUCCUAAAACCAAAUUGUGAACUUUACCCAUCCGUCGUGCUUCGGCAGGCGGGCUCUAUCCUCCUGACGGAGGUGUGCCCCCUAUGGCCUCAUCUCGAGGUGCCUGCCGGAGUAUGGCAACCCUUUUAAAUACUCAAUUGACAUCUCAAAAUUCAUAUAAAACCAAAAGAAUAAAUUGUAACAACUUUCAACAAUGGAUCUCUUGGCUCUGGCAUCGAUGAAGAACGCAGC
rnacentral:misc_RNA from 1 species